rnacentral:rRNA from 1 species
ACUCCUGCGGGAGGCAGCAGUGGGGAAUAUUGGACAAUGGGCGCAAGCCUGAUCCAGCCAUGCCGCGUGAGUGAUGAAGGCCCUAGGGUUGUAAAGCUCUUUCACCGGUGAAGAUAAUGACGGUAACCGGAGAAGAAGCCCCGGCUAACUUCGUGCCAGCAGCCGCGGUAAUACGAAGGGGGCUAGCGUUGUUCGGAUUUACUGGGCGUAAAGCGCACGUAGGCGGACUAUUAAGUCAGGGGUGAAAUCCCGGGGCUCAACCCCGGAACUGCCUGUGAUACUGGUAGUCUUGAGUUCGAGAGAGGUGAGUGGAAUUCCGAGUGUAGAGGUGAAAUUCGUAGAUAUUCGGAGGAACACCAGUGGCGAAGGCGGCUCACUGGCUCGAUACUGACGCUGAGGUGCGAAAGCGUGGGGAGCAAACAGGAUUAGAAACCCCUGUAGUCCC